rnacentral:lncRNA from 1 species
CCCCCACCCCAUUCCAGUGUAUCGGUCACCAGUUAGUUAGUAUUCAUGCAUUUAAUAUACUCCCACACAAUGUUUAUGUUUUAAACAGACAUGUGGAAAUGGAAACAGAGAGAGACUUUUAAUAAGAUUGUAUCUAUACGCUUUAUCCGCUUUGGCACAGUCACAAAGUAACAUCCCGGUCCUCCAGUGCCCCAUAACAUCUCUGCUCUAGGCGCAGGAAGAUUGGCCUCAGCCGCACCGUUAAAUCCCUUGUGUCGGCAUCCUGCGCUGAAGGAAUCUGACAAUGGAGACUUCUCUCGUGCUCCAGACAGUGCAGGCCACCUUCCACUAGAGGGCAACAAAGCAACAUCGAACGCGCUCUAGGGAAGGAAGUGAGUUUCACGCAACAACCACAGGAGGGCAGGCCGUUAAAAGCAGCAGCGAAAUGGAGCGAAGUCAGCGAAUAGGUGAUAUUUUUGCUGUGCGACCGGAGAUCUUCAUUCCAGGUUGGCCAGGGGAAUCUGACAGAUAAGCCUAGCCCAUCUGCUGCCAAAUUGCCGAGACAGGCUUGCUACUGAAAUUGAUUUGCAAAAUGAGAAGUGGGAGCACGCUUCUCAGAGGAGGAGAUCACCACACCCAGGAGGAUUCUACAGUCAAAGAGCUCAUGUCUGGCUGGCCAGAAAAAAAUCUGGAUAUUGUUGCCCAUUCCUGAGGAUACUGAUGCCAGACUUAUUUUGGACACCUAACUAGUUUAACUCACCUCUAACUCAGAACUACUGAGGAGUUACAGACAUGCACUACCUAGCCUGACAUAAUGUUUUUAAGUUAAUAAAAUAAAAUAAAAUACAUAUGUUUACA